AGUGACACCUGAAGCCACCUAUCAGGGAGGGGCUGCCCCUUCUUAAGCAUCGAUUGGCUGCGGUAUGUUAUGUGUCAUGUCCGAUGUUCCGCUUGGUGCGUGUUGAUAAUAGCAACGGCGUGUUUCUUGCCCUGUGUGUGUGGUGCCCUGGUUGCGCUGUUUAAGUGGAUAUUACGACUGCUCACCCUCAGUUGCCGGCGGCUGAUAAGGCUGUGCUGAACCCAUGCCUGUAGCAGGUUAUGUUUAUCAUACCAUUGGUUGGAGCUGGGGUCCCAACGGGUGGAUGGAACUUUCCGGUGGUGGUUUUCCUUUUUCAUUGUGUGCUGUUUAACACGAAGUGUGUGAUUUAUUUCAUUUGAGUGCACAGUGGUGUGUGUGUGCGUGCGUGUGUGUCUAUGUGGACCCAAGUCGAGAUUAAGAACCCCCCUAUCCUGUUGGGAACCUCAGCUCUGCUUAAUUUAUUUUUCUUUAACUUUCAGUUUUGUGUGUUUGCAGUGUGGUUGCCGUGAAUUGAAGUAGAGUGAUAACUUAUAUGAUUAACUGCUUAUUUUAAUGAGAUUAAGUAAUAAAACUAUUUUUGUAUUGUA